AUCACUCCGCUCAAGUAGCAGUGCUUCGCCUUCUGAGAAUAGUUCCCAGUAUGUAUACAGUUAGAAGAUGGCUGUGUCUCAUGUGACCUUGCUAUUUGUACAUGCUGUGACUAUACAAUGCACAACGUGGAAAUAGGAACAUGUUUUUUGUCAC